GGGUAACCUGCCCAAGAGAUCGGGAUAACACCUGGAAACAGAUGCUAAUACCGGAUAACAACAGAUGAUGCCUAUCAACUGUUUAAAAGAUGGUUCUGCUAUCACUCUUGGAUGGACCUGCGGUGCAUUAGCUAGUUGGUAGGGUAACGGCCUACCAAGGCGAUGAUGCAUAGCCGAGUUGAGAGACUGAUCGGCCACAUCGGGACUGAGACACGGCCCAAACUCCUACGGGAGGCAGCAGUU
rnacentral:rRNA from 1 species